rnacentral:rRNA from 1 species
AUUGAACGCUGGCGGCAUGCCUUACACAUGCAAGUCGAACGGUAACAGGUCUUCGGAUGCUGACGAGUGGCGAACGGGUGAGUAAUACAUCGGAACGUGCCUAGUAGUGGGGGAUAACUACUCGAAAGAGUGGCUAAUACCGCAUGAGAUCUACGGAUGAAAGCAGGGGAUCGCAAGACCUUGUGCUACUAGAGCGGCCGAUGGCAGAUUAGGUAGUUGGUGGGAUAAAAGCUUACCAAGCCGACGAUCUGUAGCUGGUCUGAGAGGACGAUCAGCCACACUGGGACUGAGACACGGCCCAGACUCCUACGGGAGGCAGCAGUGGGGAAUUUUGGACAAUGGGCGAAAGCCUGAUCCAGCAAUGCCGCGUGCAGGAUGAAGGCCUUCGGGUUGUAAACUGCUUUUGUACGGAACGAAAAGCCCCGGGUUAAUACCCUGGGGUCAUGACGGUACCGUAAGAAUAAGCACCGGCUAACUACGUGCCAGCCGCCGCCGUAA